UAGUGCACAGAUUGAGAUUAUUCCCUUUUUUGGUGCAUUCUUGACUGUGUAAGCAGCUGCUGAAAUACAUAUGCCUGUUUCAGCCUCACAGAGGAACAAAACUUCGCUGCUGUGCUCUGAGUACAGGACUUGGCUUGAUUAACAAACAUGCCCUGACUAGGGAGAUAAAUAACUUAAUGAGGCCCAAGGCUAUGGGUAAAAUUAUCUCUCUUUAUGGUUGUAAGUAGAGCACAAGAGUGAUUCAUUAAGCAAAGCAGAAUGAAUUGGAUUUUCUUUGUACAGUGGCAGUGCUAUAUAGUCUGGGGACACACAGACAAGGAAAUCUGACAAACUGAUGAAUACUUUUGAACGGUGUGGUGGGUAUAAGUGCUUAAUAUAGUUCAUGUAAUGGCUUGGAAGUGGCUGAUCUAUAUAUAUAAGAUAAAAAUAGUACUAUUUAAUGCUGAAAUUAGUGUCAUUAUGUUAUAGUGCUAACUGCUUGCUUUACACAGUGUGUUUGCAUCUGUACACACUGCUUUUAAAGUUCAAUAUUGGUAGUAACAGUUCACCAAAUAUUUUUUGUUAGGUGGUAAACUCUGAGAAUUUUCCAAUGUGCUGAUUAUAUCUACUUUGGUUUUGAUUAACUACUACUAAACCUUGUAUUUGCAAAACCAAAUGUCAUUUGCUUCAAUUUCUCCUUAUUAAUCUAGACAUGAUUGAUGUAGUGUUGGUUAGGUUUUCAUAGGUUCUGAAGGUGCUGUUGUAGUUUUUCCCCAGUCGUCCGGUCUUAAUGACUAAAUGGUAUUUCUACAAAGUUCCUAGUUAUCUGGGAGAAUUCCAGCUGGGUUCCUUCAUAAUGGGCCUAUGGUUUUCAGUAUCCUUCCCUGUGCAGAUUGGAUACUGCCUAGCUAGAGGACUUUUUAGCAUGGCAACUACCUCUUCCCUGCCCCAUGAAGCUUGAGAUCCUCUGAUCUAGUUGUUUCAGGUCUCCAUGGUCACUUGUCAUGGCUUGCUUUAUGAAUCAGUGUGUCUCUACUGAGGCUUUUUCUUCUUUAGAUUCUAGGUGUUGCUGUCUUUUGAAACAGCUGGUGAGAAUCCUCUUGAUAAUUCUUCAGCCAUGCUUCUCAGAUGACCACUUGCUUAGUUACAUCUGCACACUUCCUUCUCCUUCCUCAUCCCUUUCUUCCUUUUUCUGCUCAACUUAAAACUCUUGGAGACUUUCAGCAUAUGUUGGCCUGGCUUGGUAGCUAGCUCUGAGUGUCCUUCGUUUGCCAAAGCUUGCAGUAGUCUUGUUGCUUGUUGCAGUCUUCUAAAGAGGGCAUUAGCAAAGGGGGACAUCCAAGGGGGACAUGGCUGGAAUGCUGACGUGAGAACAUUACUAGCUACUCCACCUUUGUGUGUGUUUGAGUCCUUGUUUCUUGGCCCUGACUGAAAUGAAUAGAAGACUUUCAUACUUUGGGUGAUGGUAGUUAUUCCAUCAGCUUUUUGACUAAUGAGGUUUUGGUGUAUAAAUGGUGUCUUUAAAAUAUUCCUUUCAGGACCAUGUAUAAUCAGUGCCCUGAAGAUACUUGUAUUGGCAAGGCAGCAAGAGGAAAUAAAUGUAAAACUAGUCCUCAAAGUAGAGAAAUUAAAGGCUAAUACUUUCAAAUUUACUUGCUUUAGAAGCUGAACUGUAGGGCUGAGUGUCUAAAAAAUGAGUUUUCACUCCAUUACAAACUUCUGAAAAAAGUUAGUAUGCAUGUUCCCAGAUAAGCUCUUCAGGCUUCUAUAUUUGCAAAAUAUGAAUGUGAAGUGAAUUGUAAUGGAGAUACAUGUAUAGUGACAGUCAUAACAUACGGUCAUACAGUCAGAGGCUGGUUGCGUGUGGAGUCUAAGUUCCAGUAGUUAAUGAAACAAUACAUUUUAAGGAAAACGGUCAUGCUUUGAGAACAAGUAAUUCAUAUUAGGGAGAUUGGUAGUCUGCUGGUGAGGAGCAUAAAACCAAAAACUUACAUUUGUUCCUGAAUUUUGUUGGUUUUUUGUUUGUUUGGUUGUUUUUUGUUUGGUUUUUCCCUUUUCCUAAACAGACUUUGCUGGAAUACGCACAAAAGCGGAAAACAUCAGAAGACCCUCUCCCCCUGCUGGAGGUGUAUACAGUGGCUAUCCGAAGUUAUGUUAAAGCACGACCUUAUCUUACCUCCGAGUGUGAAAAUGCGGCCUUUGUGCUCGAACGUUUAGCACUAAGCUGUAUUGAACUUCUAUUGUGUCUGCCUAUUGAUUGUCCUGACAAUAAAUGGGAAGAAUUUCAGGCUUUUGUGUAGGUGAGUUUGAUUUAUGAAAUGAAGACUUAAUACCUUUUAAGAGUGUUUUGGAAACCUAGGGAUAUUAAGUAUGUAGCAUGUAUGAAGACUUGUGUCCUGGUGGCUGAUAAAGAUCAAGACCUUUAGCUGGAAAUCCUCUGAAUGACAGCAGUUACUGUGGAGUAUGUAUCAUUUGUCUGUCAUAGUUCAUGUAGCAGUUGCAGAGAAAAUACUUUCAGAUGCUUGAAAGGAACCUCAUGUUUUCAAAUAUAUUUGCCUAUAAACACUGUUGGAAAUGAAACAAUACGUAAGUCAUUCUUUACUAUUUAUGGUUGUACAAGUGAGAUGUAUUAUGAAUGAGAAAUCUGCCAUUACUGCAGGAUUGUUAGAUCUCCCACCAACAAGAGCACUAGCUGGUUAAGGAUUAGAGCUCUUCUUUAAAGGAGGGUGUUGAAACAAGUUCUGCUCCUCAGUGUUUACCAGAAAUACAUAGUAGGAGGUCCUACCUACAGUUAAAAAUGGAAAAAAAAGUUGAAGUGUGGGUGUGGGAGGAGGAAGGAAUAAUAGUGGAAAAGACCAGAUAGAGUUACCUAGGGAUUCUCAGCCUAAAUAACAUAGGGGGGUGCAAGACUGGUUGUUAGAGUGAAUUUUGACUGCCUUAUGUGAAUUACUUCUGAAGAGAUGUACAUGCUGCUGGGAGGUUCCACAGCCUUCAGAGCAGGGAGAAAAGUAAAAGUGAAGGUGAGAAAGAGGUGAGCCCUUUCUGGGCUUUUUUUAAAGGACCAGUGUUAGUUGUGCAUUGGUACUUAAGCCACAAAUUUUUGCAGGUGUUUAGUGUGCUCCCAAGCAUACCUCUGCUUCCAGAAUUUAUUCUAUUAUCUAAAGGCAGUAGAAACAGCUUAAAUCUUUCACCUUUACACAAAUAUUUUUUUUCAGUGCUCCAGUGGAUAAAAAUUGAGCUGCUGAAGAGUCUGAAAAUAAUUCGAGUUUAGGCAGCUGAUGCCAGAGCAGUCUGUGAACCAAAGAAUUUACUGAUCCCUUUCUAAAAGGGAGGCCUAUUCAAAAUUUAGUUUCAAAAAUUUAAGAAAUAGUCCUGUUAAUAAAUCUCAAAGCAAGUUUGGGACACUCAAUCAUUUUGGGUUUUCAGCCUAAAUCUUAGGAGACAGGCAGAAACAAAACCUAUGUAGGCUGGGCUAUGAAGUUUUUUUGUUAUAUGUUUAAAUCUUUAUCCAGUGAGGGCGGUUUGUUAUUUUUUUAUUUGGCAUAAGGUAUAAAGAAGUAUAAAAGACACAUUCUCAGUAUCUUUUUUUAACAUUACUUCAUUUUGUAAAAUACAUUCUUCAGCUUGCUCACAAAAGCUUGAUGGAAAAUGGCAGCCAGGAGCUGCACAUUUUAACUACUCUUACCCAAGAGAAGGGAGCGUGGAAGAACCCAGUGUUGUGGGGUAUUCUUUCCCAGGAACAGUUGGAUCCAGAUAAAAGUAAAAUUUAAAAUUAUGAUUGGAAUAAACUAUGCCUGAAUAUUUCACUAAUACAUUGGAAUAUUAUGAUGAUACAUGGAAGUUUUGUUGAAUAUAGUUUCUAUGGUAAUUUAUAGGCUAUAUCAGAAAAUACACUUCUAGCAUUGUCUGAAUGCUGUAUAUUCCUAGAAACAUACUGAAAACAGUGUGUUCCUAGGAAUAUACAAAGAGUUUAAUGUUGGUGUUUUGCAUAAAAUGUAAUCAUACCCAGAGAUCUCUUGCCAUUUUCUUCAUAAGCUGUGUGAAGGAAGAUCAUGUACAGGCUGUAUUUUACAAUGGGGUAAGUUCAGUACUGGUAUAUAAAAAUUAUUUGACAUCAAACAAGAAAACAGGAACUAGAAAUGAGAAUGGCAUUUACUCAGUGAUGAAACACAAAGAGGGACUAUUCAUUUGAAAUUAAAGAUGCAUUUAGACCAGAGUUCUGAGAAUGGCUACCAGCAUUUGCAUAGGGAAGAGUAUAUGAUCCAAAGAAGCUUCCAAUAAUAUUUUCCUGAUGUAUUAUUUUCACUGUUAAUGAUUUCCAAUUCGGAAGUGAUAUCAUUGUGUUAAUAAGUCUUAGCUGUUCUUUUGAUUCUUCGCCUGAUAGGUUUUAGAAUCUGAAUGAAUCAUCACACCUAAGCAUCUGUGGCUGUACUCA